rnacentral:rRNA from 1 species
GUGCCAGCCGCCGCGGUAAUACGGAGGGUGCAAGCGUUGUUCGGAAUUAUUGGGCGUAAAGGGCGCGUAGGCGGUAAUGCUAGUCAGAUGUGAAAUACUCCGGCUCAACCGGGGAACUGCAUCUGAAACUGCAUAACUAGAGUACAGAAGAGGGAAACGGAAUUCCCGGUGUAGAGGUGAAAUUCGUAGAUAUCGGGAGGAACACCAGUGGCGAAGGCGGUUUCCUGGUCUGAUACUGACGCUGAGGCGCGAAAGUGUGGGGAGCAAACAGGAUUAGAUACCCUGGUAGUCCACACUGUAAACGGUGAACACUAGGUGUGGGAGGUGUAAUACCUUCCGUGCCGUAGCUAACGCGUUAAGUGUUCCGCCUGGGAAGUACGGCCGCAAGGUUGAAACUCAAAGAAAUUGACGG